rnacentral:lncRNA from 1 species
GGUUCUGAUGCUAGCCUUGAGGAGAGUGGACCUACUCUCUACUGGUUCUGAUGCAAGCCUUGAGGAGAGUGGACCUACUCUCUACUGGUUCUGAUGCUAGCCUUGAGGAGAGUGGUCCUACUCUCUACUGGUUCUGAUGCUAGCCUUGAGGAGAGUGGACCUACUCUCUACUGGUUCUUAUGCUAGCCUUGAGGAGAGCGGUGCUCCUCUCUACUGGUUCUGAUGCUAGCCUUGAGGAGAGUGGACCUACUCUCUACUGGUUCUGAUGUUAGCCUUGAGGAGAGAGGUCCUACUCUCUACUGGUUCUGAUGCUAGCCUUGAGGAGUGUGGACCUACUCUCUACUGGUUCUGAUGUUAGCCUUGAGGAGAGAGGUCCUACUCUCUACUGGUUCUGAUGUUAGUCUUGAGGAGAGUGGACCUACUCUCUACUGGUUCUGAUGUUAGCCUUGAGGAGAGUGGUCCUACUCUCUACUGGUUCUGAUGCUAGCCUUGAGGAGAGUGGACCUACUCUCCUCGUUAUUUAACCUUUAUUUAACUAGGCAAGUCAGUUAAGAACAAAUUCUUAUUUACAGUGACUGCCUACCCCCCCUAACCCGGAUGACGCUGGGCCAAUUGUGUGCCACCCUAUGGGACUCCCGAUCACAGCCGGGUUGGGAUACAGCCACAAAUCGAACCAGGGUCUGUAGUGCCUUAGACCGCUGCACAACUCAGGAGCCCAUAAAGCUCUGGAAUAAGAGGUUAUCCAUUACCAACUCUGGAAUAAGAGGUUAUCCAGUACCAACUCUGGAAUAAGAGGUUAUCCAGUACCAACUCUGGAAUAAGAGGUUAUCCAGUACCAACUCUGGAAUAAGAGGUUAUCCAGUACCAACUCUGGAAUAAGCGGUGGUACUUCCUGGAAUUACUUUCUAUCUGUGACUGUAGAUGUAACUAUUGUCAAUGUGCACUCUUUCUCUCUGGGACGAAAGGCUGGCCACACGACCAGAGCGACAGCAGAGUGUACAUGCAGUGACUGUAUUGGCCAGGCGAGGGCAGUAUUGCUUCAGCGGUGAAGCAUAUUAUAAUACUGUAGUCAGCAGAAUGGAGAAUAACAGUCAUAGAAAGAGGUCAUAUGUUACUCUGAAUCUAAAUGUGUUAAAAUACUGCUUCAAAUUCAACAUGUAUAUAUUGUUAGCUGUGUCUUCGUAAAUAUAUCCCCUCUUGUAGGCCUAAAGGUUAAUUAGAUGCUUGUGAGACGUAAUUAAUCAUUUCUUGCCAUUUAAUGGACUGAACUGUACAAAGGACUAUGGCUACUCUGAUUGACGGUAUAAACAAUUAGCUAGAAAUGGCACAAAAGUGAAUCCAAAUUAGGUCCGUGUAGUCUGAGUGUUGUUAUAAAUGGUGCUCAGCCAUCAACAAAUACGUUCAUUCAUUUUACUAGCUAGCUGUCAGACUUGCUUUGUAGUCAUGAUGAAUUUCGCCACCUUGAAAACUCAAUUUUGAGCAGGGCCUUUCCUCGUCACUCUCUUGUACAGAUGACAUUCCAGAGGAUUCUAUGUGUGAUAAAGUGUUCCGGCGUGUUCUGAAUAUCUCCCCCUUCUCACUUCUCUCUCUCUUCCUGUAUCCGUUGGUAGGUCUCCUAGCAACGACAGAUCUCAGAUUGCCAGAGAGGGAAACACCUGCGCCUCAUAAUAGCCGUUAAUAUAGGUCACUGCAGUGUCCUUUCUUUCUUUCUUUCUUUCUUUCUUUCUUUCUUUCUUUCUUUCUUUCUUUCUUUCUUUCUUUCUUUCUUUCUUUCUUUCUUUCAGCACGCAGCCCACAUGGCACCCUAUUCCCUUUAUAGUGGACUACUUUUGACCAGAGCCCGUAGUGCACCAUAUACUGUAUAUAUACACUAGAGACUAAAUGUAGGAACGUGAUCUAGCUCUGUCAUCAUCUACAGUAGUAGUGAGUGACUAAGAGAUUUGACUGAUAGUGGGAGUCAGAUGUGAGACAGCUCUAUUCUGGAAGAAAGAAAGAAAGAAGUCUGUCUGUCUGUCUGUCUGUCUGUCUGUCUGUCUGUCUGUCUUUGUGUCUGUCUGUGUGUGUUUGAACAUUGAGUCAGAGUUGAAUCAUUUCACACCACUUCAACUACAAGAAGGUCGGAAAAAGAACUAAAUGAAAAUGGAAGUUGUACAUAGUGGAACACUGAUGUCAUGGAAUGUACUCUGCACAUCUCUAACCGUUGCAGCAACACCUACAAGGACACCUUGAGAGCUAAUCAUGACAUGUUUUAAGAUGAUCGAGUGUCUCUGGAACCACAGAAAGCUGCAGGCAAUACUAUAACUACAGCAAUCACAACCUAGCUCACCGCUACUGUUACCUGUCAACAAUACAGUAUAGCACUUUGAAGGCUUGGUCAGAGGAAUGGAGACAUAACAAUACAGUAUAGCACCUUGAAGGC